GCAUCUGAAUGCUGUAUUCCUUCAUUACUGGUAUUUUGCAGCAGGACUCAGGGUAAAGGGCCUGUCAUUCACCAACGUUGUCAUCAUGUCCAUCAAAAUACGCAAACAUCCAGAUGGCUGCUUGCCUCCUGCUUGCCAUGCUCUGGAAUAUUUUCUGCUGUUUCAAAGCACCCUGUGAAGGAGAACAUCAGGACCGUGUUUUAGCCCAGCUGCACCCAAAGAACCUCCCACCUUCAUGGGCCAAACAAGAUUCUGCUGCCCCUGAGUUUGGCUCGGCCCUUUACAGCAGGUUUGCCAGAGGUGUCUGCUUGCUGCAUAACCGCUUCAAAGGGAGGCUGGACAACUGCUUGAAGGAGGAUGCUCAACACAUUUGUUCCUGGCCCUUGUACUGGCUUUUAUGUGUGCCUUUCACCCUCUCAACCAAUCAUCACUGUGACCUCAAAUCUUGCCUAGGACAUGCUGUGAAAGUCCACAGAGCCAUCUGAACUCGUUCAUGCAGCAGCACAGUGCUGAGAGGGCCGUGGCUGACAAACAAGAAGCACUUCUCCCCUCAGGUGGCCUGCUCUUCCUUGUCAAUCACACUGUGGGGAAAAGUAGCUGAAAACCAGCUGUCCUGCCAAAAAGGACAGAAGAGUUUCUUGUGGGCAAUGAGAGUUAUUUAUUUAUUUAUUUUACUUAUUUACCACACUCUAGUAAGAAGUUUGAUUUUCCUAAAUCUUACAAAUCACCUGCCAAGGACACGGAGCAUCUGGCUUUCUUCAGCAAAUAAAUUGCUUGCCGUGUGUCUGCUGUCCAAAAAGACAUGCUGCCCCCAAGUUACAGUCCUGAAAUGGAUUCUGUCAACAUGUUUUAUCAACUAAUAAUAAUGAAAAACUCCUGUGUUUUUCUUGCAGCUAUUUAUAAAAUGUCUCCAGAAGCCAGACUGUGAAUAAACCUCCUUAUCCAACUUUUGUUUCUACCCAUGCAAAUGCUCUUGGGUUUGUUAUUGGAGGGCUGUUCACAAACAGCUGGGCUGCUUUUUCAAGCAGCCUUUAUUUAAAGGGUUUUGUUCUGAGUACAAAGGCCCAGAUUCAGAGAUCAUUCAUGGACUUAAAGUCAAGCAUAUUCUUGAUUACUUUGCUGCACUGAGGCCUAAAGCAUUUGCAUUGAAGCAAAAUACACACAAGCAGCUUUCCAAACAAGCACACACAAGCAGUCUGUGACACGCUGGAUGCUGGUAGGCCUGGUGCUGUGGUAGCUGAAGAGUGGAUGUAAAUUCCCCUCACCCUGUUAAGCUGGUAAGUGAGUCAAAGUAGCUAAAUAAAUUGGGACAACGACUGUGUAUGCACAGCUUUGACUUGGAAGGCGGCUGUGGCAAAAUGUGGAGGGAAUCCCAUCCUCAGAGAUUUUCCAAAGGAGCUGGCUGCACAGCUCACAUUCAGGCAAAGAGCACCGGGAAGGAAUUUUAGCCUUGUGUGGUUUUCAGCCAUGCAUGCUGCUCCUGGUGCUAAAAAGCCAGGAGCAAACCACCACAAUCAUUGUGCUCAUCACCACCUGCCCUCUCACCCAGCAGCGCUGCAUUGGACUCAUUGGUAAGAGCUCACUCACUCACAAGUGAAGAUCCCCAUUGCAUUUAUCAGGACCAUUGCAGGGAACUCCUCAUGGGUUUGCUGUGAGCUAACUGGGUGUACUGGAGUAUAGCAAGAACUGUUGCUAAUUCUCAUUAAAGACGAGGAUCUGACUCAACCCACACUGAAAUCAAGGCAAAGACUCCCACAGAUUUAAGAAGGUACUAGAUCAAAGUCUCAGACUUGUAAAAUCUUCAGGUCAGGGACAACAGCUUUGUCACAAUCUAUAGUGUGCAGUUAAUUUGCUCUCUAAAUAAUAAGAAUUUGGAGGUAAUUUGAUGGGCGCUUGGGAAAAAGCUUCCAAAACCUUCCAAAGAGCCUUGUUAUCCCAGCAUACUAACGUAUCCUAUCAGAGCUGUGUUAAUCUUUUAAAAUAUCUUUGUACAAAGACUGUAAAAUCCUAGUUGGUUACGUGGGUUGCAAUUUUUCUGUAAAAGCUAUUCAUAUCAGAUCAAUAGCUCAACUUGGAAAAAAUAGUAAAAUAAAAAGCCCAUCCAUCUGUUAUUUAUUCCUUUGCACAUAAUCAAUUGUUUGCUGCUAAUCUCCACUGUACAAAAUCUUUGAAAUCUUUUACGCACCUCUUUGCAUGCUUUUCCUCCAACAUGAGAUGCAACUCAAAAAGUUACCUUCAAGUUCAGAAGUCAGCUAUGGAUAGUCAAGCUAUCCAUCUCUUCCAGGGCUUUGCAGAGGAAAGCAAAUAAAUGCAGGAAUGAAGGACAAUGGAAUCUCUAAAAUACAUGACAUUUCCUUUGACUUACCAAUGGAUAGUGCAGUUCACACUUGAGCAGGAUUGUAAAAGCUUUUGACAGUUAAAUUAUGUGAUAGAUGAGUAAUGUGAUGAUUGACUAUCACAAUUA